rnacentral:rRNA from 1 species
UACAGAGGGGGCAAGCGUUGUUCGGAAUUACUGGGCGUAAAGGGCGCGUAGGCGGCCUGCUAAGUCGAACGUGAAAUCCCCGGGCUCAACCCGGGAACUGCGUCCGAUACUGGUUGGCUUGAAUUCGGGAGAGGGAUGUGGAAUUCCAGGUGUAGCGGUGAAAUGCGUAGAUAUCUGGAGGAACACCGGUGGCGAAGGCGGCAUCCUGGACCGAUAUUGACGCUGAUGCGCGAAAGCCAGGGGAGCAAACGGG